UACGGGGGGAGCAAGCGUUGUUCGGAUUUACUGGGCGUAAAGGGCGCGUAGGCGGCGCAACAAGUCACUUGUGAAAUCUCCGGGCUUAACCCGGAGCGGUCAAGUGAUACUGUCGUGCUAGAGUGCGGAAGGGGCUACUGGAAUUCUCGGUGUAGCGGUGAAAUGCGUAGAUAUCGAGAGGAACACCUGCGGCGAAGGCGGGUCUCUGGGCCGAUACUGACGCUGGAGGAGCGAAAGCCGUGGGGAGCGAACAGG
rnacentral:rRNA from 1 species